UCUGCCCAGGGACACAAGGGACAGCCAAGGCACAUGCCCUGGCAUAGCUGUGGGUAUCACACAGCUAGUUAAAACAACUCUGAUGAACACUUCACUUUCUGCCUCCAGAUUUCUUAUUCAUUAUUAGCAGUGUAGCAGAGGAUCUAAUGUACCCUUACCAUAGUUACGGUCCAAAAAUAACGUUUUUUCCUCUAAUUUGAAUGUGGUGUACAUGUUUAAGUAACUUUGCUGUUGAUUUUUUUUCCUGUUUUAACAGAUGUAUUUUGACUAACUACUUCUGCAGAGCAAUUCCUUCUUUAGAAGAAACUGCUCUGUGCCCUCCACUUUCUUGAAAUGCCACAGGACUCUGUUCCAAUUUACCCCUCUAAGCCAUGCACACAGUUGUUUGCUUGGAUCCCAAGGAGAUUAAAGGAUGAGGAAACUAUAAAUGCUACUGGAUUUCUUUCCUUAGGCAGCCUGUGGAGAUGAAUCCUGCGUCAGCGGUCGCAACUGGACAAAUGACCUGGUUGGAAAGGCACAAGCCACAGCCAGCUCUCCCUGCUGACUCCUGCUUCCUGUGCAAGUCUGUGGAAUUGGUUCCUCAGGCCAUCCUGAUACCUGCAGGACUGCAGAUCAAAUAUCAUCUGAUAAGAAUAAUUCUGACAAAAGAAGCGUUGCUGGCUUUGACACUCAAGCAUGCAAGAUUUUGAAUUCUCCAUUUCAAACAUACCUGAGACAUAAUUAGCUGGAGCAUAUCAGAAAAAAAAUAUAUCAGAGUAAGGAAUCUCCAGCUGAAGCAAAGAGUUCCAUGAUGUGAAAGGGCUGAUUAUGUUUAUAUUACGUGUUCUCCUGUGAAAGAACCAAGCCCCCCAGCUAGUAGGGGAAGAAAGGUCACUGAAACUGAAGAAACAACUGACUCAGUGUCUUAAUUCUGAAGGAAAUGAGCCCUUUGGAGAUGAGAGGGACUUUCUGAUCUACUUCAGGGCAAGGCAUGCAACUAUGAAAAUAAGCUUUUCCUGUUAUGUUGAAGAAUAAAGCAGCAAAUCAGAAAGACUGGAGAUUGGAAGUAAAGAAAUAUUUGCACUGAUUUUUAUUUUUUUUACCUUUAAAUGCGCCACAUGUGAUUGGCAAAGUUGUAUCAUUCUCCCAGAUUAUCAUCCGCAGCAUCCUUAAGAAGAAUUUGAGAAAGAUUAACAAUAAAUUAAUUCUUUCUUGCAUGUGGCAGCCAGAUUUCCAUGUCUGGACUGAAAAGAGCCUUCCCAUCACUGGCCAGCCUGGUUGCACUGGA
rnacentral:lncRNA from 1 species